GGGAAGCAGCGAAGGGGGGAACGCAAAGGGCGCGGCCGGGGAGCCCGGGAAGGAGGCCGGGGGGAGGGGCAGGAGGAACAAAAAAGCGGGGGGGGGGGAAAGGGGGACGUUUCCGGAGUUUGGGCUUAUCUUAACUUUUUUGGUUAAGGGGCUUAAAAUUGACCUUUUUUGCGCAUUUUUAGACGUACAUAAAUUUUUUUUUAUUCGUCUAUUCUUAAUGCCAAAAUCUUAUUAGAUGCGAUCACAUCGUGUGGCUUCGUGUCCAUAAAAUUUUCAUUAUUUUACCUCAAAUCAGUUAGGA
rnacentral:misc_RNA from 1 species